rnacentral:rRNA from 1 species
UACAGAGGGUGCGAGCGUUGUCCGGAAUCACUGGGCGUAAAGGGCGCGUAGGCGGCUUGAUAAGCGUGCGGUGAAAGCCCGGGGCUCAACCCCGGGUCGGCCGUGCGAACUGUCGAGCUGGAGCACUGUAGAGGCAGGUGGAAUUCCGGGUGUAGCGGUGGAAUGCGUAGAGAUCCGGAAGAACACCGGUGGCGAAGGCGGCCUGCUGGGCAGUGGCUGACGCUGAGGCGCGACAGCGUGGGGAGGCAAACAGG